rnacentral:rRNA from 1 species
GUAGGUGGCAAGCGUUGUCCGGAAUUAUUGGGCGUAAAGCGCGCGCAGGCGGUUCUUUAAGUCUGAUGUGAAAGCCCACGGCUCAACCGUGGAGGGUCAUUGGAAACUGGAGAACUUGAGUGCAGAAGAGGAAAGCGGAAUUCCACGUGUAGCGGUGAAAUGCGUAGAGAUGUGGAGGAACACCAGUGGCGAAGGCGGCUUUCUGGUCUGUAACUGACGCUGAGGCGCGAAAGCGUGGGGGAGCAAACGGGAUUAGAUACCCUGGUAGUCCACGCCGUAAACGAUGAGUGCUAAGUGUUAGGGGGUUUCCGCCCCCCUUAGUGCUGCAGCUAACGCAUUAAGCACUCCGCCUGGGAGUACGGCCGCAAGGCUG